rnacentral:rRNA from 1 species
GCCAGACUCCUACGGGAGGCGGCAGUGGGGGAUAUUGCACAAUGGGGGGAACCCUGAUGCAGCGACGCCGCGUGGGUGAAGAAGCGCCUCGGCGCGUAAAGCCCUGUCAGCAGGGAAGAAAAUGACGGUACCUGAAGAAGAAGCCCCGGCUAACUACGUGCCAGCAGCCGCGGUAAUACGUAGGGGGCAAGCGUUAUCCGGAUUUACUGGGUGUAAAGGGGGCGCAGACGGCAGCGCAAGCCAGGAGUGAAAGCCCGGGGCCCAACCCCGGGACUGCUCUGGGAAAUGUCCGGCUGGAGUGCGGGAGGGGCAGGCGGAAUUCCUGGUGUAGCGGGGAAAUGCGUAGAUAUCAGGAGGAACACCGGCGGCGAAGGCGGCCUGCUGGACCGCGACUGACGUUGAGGCUCGAAAGCGUGGGGAGCGAACAGGAUUAGAUACCCCUGUAC